AGGGGGAAAAGUUCUUCUGAAAGGAUUACAAUGUGCAAGCAGAAUCAGUUCUCUCUCCAGGAGAGAAAAAAAUAUUAGAGGUGUAAAUUGGCUCCAAAAAUGCCCCCAAGGGCAUAGGGAGGAUAAUCAGGAUGACAGUGUGGCUGAGCAAGUGUGUUCUGCUCUAUACCAUUAAUUUUGUGAUGUUUAAUACUUCAGCAGGUCCAGGACUUCCAGGACUGUCCUGGUGGCUGUGAUCACAAAUGAUUCAUCAGAGCCACUUGAACAAGAAAAGCCUUUCUAAACAAGGGCAUUUCUGAGGCUCUUGCUGGUUUUUUUGCCUUCCAGCUGACCAUCUUUGACUUCAGGGAGGUUGGUCUCAGGCUCAGGAAGAAGCCGGACAGCCCUCAGGAGACAAAGCUGCCCAAGACUGUCCGGCCCCCAGGCACCAGUGAGAACUCCAGUUCCAAGUUCUCAUCCCCUGACCGGAACAAGACCUUGCUUGAGCCUGUCCCAUCCGAGCUGGUGUUUCAGAACUAUGUCCUUGGCAAGGUCUGUGAAACGGCCCUGCUUCUGAGGAAUAGAGACAAGGUUACUCAGCUGGUGAAGGUCACCAUGGACAGCUCACCUUAUUUCAAGUUGGUCGGCCCCAAUGGUGUGUGCCAUCAGAUCCCACCGGGCUCAUUUUGCACUAUAAACAUCCUUUUCAUCCCUGAGGGG